GUAGGNCUACCCGCUGAACUUAAGCAUAUCAAUAA
rnacentral:rRNA from 1 species